UACAGAGGGGGCAAGCGUUAUUCGGAAUUAUUGGGCGUAAAGGGCGCGUAGGCGGCAUGGCAAGUGGAUGGUGAAAUCCCUCGGCUUAACCGAGGAACUGCCGUCCAAACUGCUUCGCUUGAGACCGGGAGAGGUGAGUGGAAUUCCCAGUGUAGCGGUGAAAUGCGUAGAUAUUGGGAGGAACACCAGUGGCGAAGGCGGCCCGCUGGGCAGAGACUGACGCUGAGGCGCGACAGCGUGGGGAGCAAACAGG
rnacentral:rRNA from 1 species